CCUACGGUAGGCAGCCGUGGGGAAUAUUGCGCAAUGGGCGAAAGCCUGACGCAGCGACGCCGUGUGAGGGAUGCAGGUCUUCGGAUCGUAAACCUCUGUCAGCAGGGAAGAACGGUCACUGUGCUAAUCAGACGUGAAUUGACGGUACCUGCAAAGGAAGCGCCGGCUAACUCCGUGCCAGCAGCCGCGGUAAUACGGAGGGUGCGAGCGUUAAUCGGAAUUACUGGGCGUAAAGCGCUCGGAGGCUGUAUGUCAAGUCAAGGGGGAAAUCCCCGCGCUCAACGUGGGAACUGCCUUUGAAACUGGCAAACUGGAGUGUGUGAGAGGAUAGUGGAAUUCCAGGUGUAGGAGU
rnacentral:rRNA from 1 species